GAUGAACGCUGGCUACAGGCUUAACACAUGCAAGUCGAGGGGAAACGGCAUUUGGUGCUUGCACCGAAUGGACGUCGACCGGCGCACGGGUGAGUAACGCGUAUCCAACCUUCCCGUUACUGCGGGAUAACCUGCCGAAAGGCAGACUAAUACCGCAUGUUCUUCGAUGACGGCAUCAGAUUCGAAGCAAAGAUCCGUCGGUAACGGAGGGGGAUGCGUCUGAUUAGCUAGUUGGCGGGGCGACGGCCCACCAAGGCGACGAUCAGUAGGGGUUCUGAGAGGAAGGUCCCCCACAUUGGAACUGAGACACGGUCCAAACUCCUACGGGAGGCAGCAGUGAGGAAUAUUGGUCAAUGGGCGGAAGCCUGAACCAGCCAAGUAGCGUGCAGGAUGACGGCCCUACGGGUUGUAAACUGCUUUUAUGCGGGGAUAAAGUGAGGGACGCGUCCCUUUUUGCAGGUACCGCAUGAAUAAGGACCGGCUAAUUCCGUGCCAGCAGCCGCGGUAAUACGGAAGGUCCGGGCGUUAUCCGGAUUUAUUGGGUUUAAAGGGAGCGUAGGCCGGGGAUUAAGUGUGUUGUGAAAUGUAGGCGCCCAACGUCUGACUUGCAGCGCAUACUGGUUCCCUUGAGUACGCGCAACGCCGGCGGAAUUCGUCGUGUAGCGGUGAAAUGCUUAGAUAUGACGAAGAACCCCGAUUGCGAAGGCAGCCGGCGGGAGCGCAACUGACGCUGAAGCUCGAAGGUGCGGGUAUCGAACAGG
rnacentral:rRNA from 1 species